rnacentral:rRNA from 1 species
AAAGGAAUUGACGGGGGCCCGCACAAGCGGUGGAGUAUGUGGUUUAAUUCGAUGCAACGCGAAGAACCUUACCAGGGCUUGACAUCCCGGGAACCCGCCUGAAAGGGCGGGGUGCCCUUCGGGGAGCCCGGAGACAGGUGGUGCAUGGCUGUCGUCAGCUCGUGUCGUGAGAUGUUGGAUUAAGUUCCGCAACGAGCGCAACCCUCGUCGUAUGUUGCCAGCGGUUCGGCCGGGCACUCAUGCGAGACUGCCGCAGCAAUGUGGAGGAAGGUGGGGAUGACGUCAAGUCAGCAUGCCCCGUACGCCCUGGGCUACACACAUACUACAAUGCCACCGGCAAACCGUUGCUAACCCGCGAGGGGGCGCUAAUCGGAGAAGCGGUGGCUCAGUGCGGAUUGCAGGCUGCAACUCGCCUGCAUGAAGUCGGAAUCGCUAGUAACCGUCGGUCAGCAUGUACGACGGUGAAUACGUUCCCGGGCCUUGUACACACCGCCCGU